GGUAAGUUUUCCCAACGUUAUGAUAACUAAAAUGCAAACAAAACAACCUUUGUUGGCUUGAAUAUGGCGAAUACAAUAUCGAGUCUCAAGAAGUGUAUGAAACGUAAAUAAAACCAGGAUAUUACUUUUUUCAAAACUACUUUUUGCCGAAAAUAGUGAAAGGUAGAAUAGUCAUUUUUGUUCUAUGCACUGUCAUAAACACGAAGAAAAUAAUAUAGGGAUUAAACAUCGAUUAUGAUAAUAUUAUAGUUCUCAUGAUAUAUGAAUUUAAAAUGAUGAGAAAUCACUCUACUUGAAAUAAUUUUGAGCAUUCUGAACAUAGGGUUAUUUUGUUGUUUAAUUUUUAUAUCUUUAUAAACAGAUUUUGAUUGAAGGCGCAUAAAAAACAGUUAAGUGAAAUUGAAUUCCGCUCGACAGUUUUUGGAUCGUUGUGAAAUUUGUAUAUUGUAUCAAGUUUGUGACUUAAAGUAUUCUUCUGCUUUUUUAUUGAUGAUAGAAAAGUAUUCUGGAUUCAUUCAAUGUUUAUAAUGUCGAUGGUGACUAAGUUUCAACUAGUUUACUUGGAAACAAGUUAUUUUCAAGUUAUGAAAAGAUAAGUUUUUUCAGUAUGGCAUUACAACGUAACGACAACAUACUUUUAGCCGGCAUAACAAUUAGUAGAAACUGCGCUUUUUGAGUCAUGCAAGCAGUUAGAUGUUAGUAACAAUCACUCAAAUAUCUGGUUGCAAACUAGUCACAAACAAGCUAGCGUAACAUAAAUUGUUACUUGGGUGUAAAGCUUGCUGUUCUCGAUGUAGGCGUUAAGGCUAAUACGCAAUAGGAAACUUUCGCGCAUUCCGGGGGAAGUAUUGUUUUCGCCAAAUCGAGAUGUUAUUGCAGUUAAACCUGUGACACGACGCCUCUGUUUUGAUAACGCAACCGCACCUUGUGAAUGAUGAGAGGAUUGUCAUGAGUGUUUUUAUAACGUUAGGUCAAGGUAUACACGCGGGGGAAGCUAGCACGGUAUUAACAAUACAACAUACUAUACAGAACGGUGUUUAAGGUGACCUAACUUUAUAUUUUGUUCAAUUUACAAUUAUAUUAUUACCCAGGUAAACUAAUGAACUAUAAAUCAUAAUUAUAAAGAAAAUUAUUCUCGAAUUCAACUCUGAUUACGAUUUCACAGAGAGCAAUAAUUAGGAAAUUUGUCGCACUUAACCUAAACUAAAAUUAUUACCAUUGAAGAUAGACGGUCUAAUUAAGCCUGUGGUGACAGAAAUUCUGUAGAUCAGUACGUGAUUUUGAAAGGUCUAUGAACCGAUAACACAGCCACUAAAGAUUUUGUAAUUAAUCUAUAAGGAAAUAAAUUACAAGAGACGGUUGUCAUCGGGUAACACCACCCAACCAACCAGCAACUGCAAACAAUGUACAACAAGGCGCAUCUACAGCAACUAGCAACGAAAUCAACAACAAUACCACGGCAAUGGAUGACGAGACGAACCACGAACAAACUGCCCCUCAAUCCUCGCAGGAGGAAAAUGGAAGCUCCUCUCCCCCUAGAAAAAGGUUGACAACGAGAUUCAAUACAAAAAAAAUUUUAUCUAAAAACUCAGUCAAAUCGGCCACGUAAAGCUUGUACGCAAAUAGGCCUGAAUAAAAUAUCUUUUAAAUAAAAAAAAAAGUGAAGUGAAUGUAGGUCCUUAUUAAGAAAGUCGCUUCUGUGACAAAAGUAAUUACUUGAAUGAACAGGGGCCCUUAUUACCGUUCUCACUUCCACUUUCACAUUCACUUCACUUGAUUUUACCUAUUACCGGUAUUACGCAUAGUGAAGUGAUCACUGUGGUAGAAAAAACUAAUUUUUUCAACAAAAUAUUGGUGGCGUGAUGUUCAUAAUGACAUCAAGUUCAUUCAAGUAAUUACUUUUGUCUCUAAAGCGACUUCCGUAAUAAGGACCUACAUUCACUUCACUUGAUUCCACCGUGAAGUGAUACCCAUAAUAAGGGUCACAGUCACUUCACUCGGUUUUCACCGUGUAGUGACACCGGUAAUAAGGGCCUGGAUGUCAUUAUGAACAUCACGCCACCAACAUUUUGUUGUAAAACCUGUUUUAAUCCACCUAGAGGUGUAAUGAUGCCUUUUUCAUAUCAAUCAUACUAUCAUAUAUAAUACUGUGGUAUUAUUCAAAAUAAUUCUCU